rnacentral:rRNA from 1 species
GAUGAACGCUAGCUACAGGCUUAACACAUGCAAGUCGAGGGGAAACGACAUCGAAAGCUUGCUUUUGAUGGGCGUCGACCGGCGCACGGGUGAGUAACGCGUAUCCAACCUGCCCAUCACUUGGGAAUAACCUUGCGAAAGUAAGACUAAUACCCAAUGAUAUCCCACGAAGGCAUCGGAAUGGGAUUAAAGAUUUAUCGGUGAUGGAUGGGGAUGCGUCUGAUUAGCUUGUUGGCGGGGUAACGGCCCACCAAGGCAACGAUCAGUAGGCGUUCUGAGAGGAAGGUCCACCACAGUGGAACUGAGACACGGCCCAAACUCCUACGGGAGGCAGCAGUGAGGAAUAUUGGUCAAUGGGCGAGAGCCUGAACCAGCCAAGUAGCGUGCAGGAAGACGGCCCUAUGGGGUGUAAACUGUUUUUAUAAGGGAAUAAAGUGGGUCACGUGUGACUUUUUGCAUGUACCUUAUGAAUAAGGACCGGCUAAUUCCGUG